AUUGAAUCCCUCCACGGGUACAGCUUGGGCGGGACAAGAGCCCGGCCGUGGCUACACCCAAGCUGGGUUCCAGGCCAUGAGUUUUGCAGAGAGAACUGAUGGGCUGUUGGUUUGACCAGUGUGCUUAGAGAGGUGGCAGUUUCACCCUCCGAUCCACUGCCGCUUUUAUUAUUGUAUAUACGGUAGAGUUAAAAAAAUAAACUUUGCUUUUUAAAGUCCUUUUUCUUUCCUUUUA